rnacentral:rRNA from 1 species
GACAGAGGGGGCAAGCGUUGCUCGGAAUUACUGGGCGUAAAGGGCGCGUAGGCGGGAUGGCAAGUCGGUCGUGAAAUCCCUCGGCUCAACUGAGGAUCGUCGAUCGAUACUGCCGUUCUUGAGGAUUGCAGAGGAGACUGGAAUUCCCGGUGUAGCGGUGAAAUGUGUAGAGAUCGGGAGGAACACCGGUGGCGAAGGCGGCGAUCUGGGUCGAUACUGACGCUGAGGUGCGAAAGCGUGGGGAGCAAACAGG